rnacentral:rRNA from 1 species
UGAGCAAUCUGCCCUUCUCAUCGGAAUAAGCGUUGGAAACGACGUCUAAUGCCGAAUACGACCUCCUUUCACAUGAUCGGAGGUGGAAAGCUCCGGCGGAAAAGGAUGAGCUCGCGGCCUAUCAGCUAGUUGGUGUGGGUAACGGCCCACCAAGGCGACGACGGGUAGCCGGCCUGAGAGGGUGACCGGCCACACUGGGACUGAGACACGGUCCAGACUCCGUACGGGAGGCAGCAGGG